rnacentral:rRNA from 1 species
GUGGGGAAUCUUCCGCAAUGGACGAAAGUCUGACGGAGCAACGCCGCGUGAGUGAAGAAGGUUUUCGGAUCGUAAAGCUCUUUCGUUAGGGACGAACGUGCUCUUUGUGAAUAAUGAGGAGUAAUGACGGUACCUAAAUAAGAAGCCACGGCUAACUACGUGCCAGCAGCCGCGGUAAUACGUAGGUGGCAAGCGUUGUCCGGAAUUAUUGGGCGUAAAGCGCGCGCAGGCGGGAUAUCAAGUCUGUCUUAAAAGUGCGAGGCUCAACCUCGUGAGGGGACAGAAACUGGUAUUCUUGAGUGUCGGAGAGGAAAGUGGAAUUCCAAGUGUAGCGGUGAAAUGCGUAGAGAUUUGGAAGAACACCAGUGGCGAAGGCGACUUUCUGGACGAUGUCUGACGCUGAGGCGCGAAAGCUAGGGGAGCGAACGGGAUUAGAUACCCCCAGUAGUCC